AGUUCGGAUCGCAGUCUGCAACUCGACUGCGUGAAGGCGGAGUCGCUAGUAAUCGCGGAUCAGCAACGCCGCGGUGAAUGCGUUCCCGGGCCUUGUACACACCGCCCGUCACACCAUGAGAGUUGGAAAUACCCGAAGCCUGUGAGCUAACUUUUAGAGGCAGCAGUCGAAGGUAGAGCCAAUGAUUGGGGUGAAGUCGUAACAAGGUAAC
rnacentral:rRNA from 1 species